rnacentral:lncRNA from 1 species
GAGGGUAGAAGUACGAAUGCUUCUUUUGAGGUGCCAAAUCUUUUGUUCUUGGCAAUAAUUCAUACGUGGUGUAAUUGGCAAAGGAGAUCCUAAUUGAUUAACAACAAAGGGACACAGCAUAAUUUAAGAGGACAAAGGCAGAAAUCAAGACCCACAUAUGAACGAAUUAAAGCUUCAUCGCCUUAGAUUGGACAAAAUAAGAUUUUUCUCAAAACAAUAAU